UCGGCUCCGGUUCACGCCUCCGCACCCCGCGAAUGCGACCCGGCGCC
ncrna:Streptomyces collinus Tu 365 L31-Actinobacteria ribosomal protein leader